UACGUAGGGACCGAGCGUUGUCCGGAAUCAUUGGGCGUAAAGAGCGUGUAGGCGGCUUGUUAAGUCUUGCGUGAAAUCUCGGGGCUCAACCCCGAGCGGUCGUGAGAAACUGGCAGGCUAGGGUGCGGGAGAGGAGAGUGGAAUUCCUGGUGUAGCGGUGAAAUGCGCAGAUAUCAGGAAGAACACCCGUGGCGAAGGCGGCUCUCUGGAACGCAACUGACGCUGAGACGCGAAAGCGUGGGGAGCAAACAGG
rnacentral:rRNA from 1 species